rnacentral:rRNA from 1 species
AUGAAGGUUCAAGACCCCGACAAUUCAUCUCAGACGGUUUAUGAUUCAUGGGUCAAAUCCAAUGCUUCUCCCAACAUUCAACGACUGGGCAAUGGAGGAUCAGACUAUGCAGCAUUCGUUCAACAUGUUGGCAUUCCAUCAACCAACUUGAUAUUUGGAGAAGGGCCAGGAUAUCCUGUUUACCACUCUUUAUACGAUGAUUUUGUAUGGAUGGAGAAGUUUGCAGACCCUAGGUUCUGUUGGCAUGUCGCAGCAUCAACGACAACAGCGUGGCGCUCCUGGUGCUCCUCUCCCUCUCCUGCCUUGCAUGCUACAAUGCCACCGCCUCCUUCCUGUACAAAAGGUUUGAGUGAGGAAAAAUUCCAGCUCAUGAACGAACAUGAAGAAGUUCUAAUGUGA